rnacentral:rRNA from 1 species
AACACGGACCAAGGAGUCUAGCAUGUGCGCGAGUCAUUGGGACACAACUAAACCUAAAGGCGCAAUGAAAGUGACAUCCGGCGGCCGCUUCGCGGCGGUCGUCGGGCACGGGAGGAUGGGCCCGGUCGCCUAAGAACCGACCGACCCCGCACUCCCGGGGCGUCCCGAUCUCAUCGCGAGAUGGGGCGCACCAUGAGCGUACACGCUGGGACCCGAAAGAUGGUGAACUAUGCCUGGUCAGGACGAAGUCAGGGGAAACCCUGAUGGAGGUCCGUAGCGAUUCUGACGUGCAAAUCGAUCGUCGGAACUGGGUAUAGGGGCGAAAGACUAAUCGAACCAUCUAGUAGCUGGUUCCCUCCGAAGUUUCCCUCAGGAUAGCUGGCGCUCGUAGCGCACGAGUCUCAUCCGGUAAAGCGAAUGAUUAGAGGCAUUGGGGUCGAAACGGCCUCAACCUAUUCUCAAACUUUAAAUGGGUGAGAUCUCCGGCUUGCUCGAACUAUUUUCAAAUGAAGCCGCGAGAUUCGGAUCAGAGUGCCAAGUGGGCCAUUUUUGGUAAGCAGAACUGGCGCUGUGGGAUGAACCAAACGCCGAGUUAAAGCGCCUAAAUCGACGCUCAUGGGACACCAUGAAAGGCGUUGGUAACUUAAGACAGCAGGACGGUGGCCAUGGAAGUCGGAAUCCG